rnacentral:rRNA from 1 species
CCUACGGGGUGCAGCAGUGGGGAAUAUUGCACAAUGGGGGAAACCCUGAUGCAGCGACGCCGCGUGAAGGAAGAAGUAUUUCGGUAUGUAAACUUCUAUCAGCAGGGAAGAAAAUGACGGUACCUGACUAAGAAGCCCCGGCUAACGACGUGCCAGCAGCCGCGGUAAUACGUAGGGGGCAAGCGUUAUCCGGAUUUACUGGGUGUAAAGGGAGCGUCGGCGGUUUAGCAAGUCAGAAGUGAAAGCCCGGGGCUCAACUCCGGGACUGCUUUUGAAACUGUUGAACUAGAUUGCAGGAGAGGUAAGUGGAAUUCCUAGUGUAGCGGUGAAAUGCGUAGAUAUCACGCAGAACUCCGAUUGCGAAGGCAGCAUACCGGCGCCCUACUGACGCUGAGGCACGAAAGCGUGGGUAUCGAACAGGAUUAGAUACCCGAGUAGUC